CUCACAGUAGAGGGCUGUGAAGGGGUAUAGAGCUGGACAUUAGGGAGGAUGCCAUUGAACUCGGGGACUUUAGAGGCCUGGCAAGUGGGACCAAAUGGAUGGAGGCAAGGGGCAUGUUUCUUGAUAACCUGUGUAUGUGUGUGUACACGUGUACUUUUAUUCUAUGAUGUGCACUCAGGAACAGAGCAGAAGCAGAGAGAUCUUUGUGAAUUUGGUGCUGUUCUACACAGAGACUUCCAAGCCAGCAGAGCUGUGCAUUGAAAUCCUGUCUCUAAAACCAAAUGAAGAGUUUAGAGAGAUGGAGCAGUGACUAAGAGCACUGGCUGCUCUUCCAGAAGACCAGGAUUCAAUGCCCAGCAAUCAAUGGUUACUCAGCCAUCUGUAACUGUAGUUCCAGAUCUGAUGCCCUCUUCUGGCCUCCACAGGAACCAGGCAAGCACAUGGUACAUAUACACAUGUAAGUGAAACAUCCAUAUAUAAAAUUAAAUAUAUUAAAAAAAGCCUAAGUGGAAGCAAGUGAUGGGCCAAUAGGACAAGUCAGGGAAUAAAGGCACUCGCUGCUAGACGGUAUGACUCGAGUUUAACCUGCAGGCUAGAAGUUAAGAACUGACUUCCCAUCCUUCACAAGAGGGGGUGGCAUAUGCAACCAUAUUCACUCACCACACAUACACACCAACUUUUUUUUUUUUUUAAUUUUUGAGAUAGGAUUUCUCUGUGUAAUAGUUCUAGCUGUCCUGGAGCUUGCUUUGUUGACCAGGCUGGCCUUGAAAUCAGAGAUCCACCUGCCCCUGCCUCUCAAGUGUUGGUAUUAAAGGUGUGUGCCACCACCACCUGGCAACACACACCAAUUUUUAAUUAAGACCUUAUGUGUAUGGGUAUUUUACUUGCAUGAAUGUCUGUACAGUGCCUACUGAGGCCAGAAGAGGGUGUCAGAGUCCCUGGAACUGGAGUUUUAGAUGGUGUGAACCGCCAUGUGGGUGCUGGGAAUUGAACCCUGGUCUCUGGAAGAGCAGCCAGUGCUCUUAGCCACUGAGCCAACUUCAAUAAACGUCAUUAAAAAUAUUUUCAAGGGCUGGAGAGAUGGCUCAGCGGUUAAGAGCAUUGCCUGCUCUUCCAAAGGUCCUGAGUUCAAUUCCCAGCAACCACAUGGUGGCUCACAACCAUCUGUAAUGAGGUCUGGUGCCCUCUUCUGGCUUUUAGGCAUACAUGCAGAAAGAAUAUUGUAUACAUAAUAAAUUAAUAAAUAAAUAAGUUAAAAAAAAAUUUUCAAGUGACAACAAAACGGCUGUGAGCAAACUGUCUUAAACCUACUUUCCCUGCAGCUGUGAGUGCAGAGCACCCCUGGAAGGAGACAGGUCUCUGUUCUGCUUCACAAGGGCCAAGUAUUUUUUUGUUUGUUUGUUUUUGGUUUUUUUGAGACAGGGUUUCUCUGUAGCUUUGGUGCCUGUCCUGAACUAGCUCUUGUAGACCAGGCUGGCCUUGAACUCACAGAGGUGCCCCCCCCCCUCUGCCUCCCAAGUGCUGGGAUUAAAGGUGUGUACCACCACCACCCAGCAAGGCCAAGUAUUCCUAAAGAAACACCUGGGAGCUGUUUUAUGUUGCUGGGCCUCAUUUGCCUGUCAUUUGACUUUGGGGAUGUGUGAGGAGGGGAGCUUCCUGCUCUACUCUGGCUUGUGUUGAGUAGGGGGGGGGUCUCUGUGUAGGGUCCAAGAUUCCCAGGUCAAGGGACCCUCCUGCUUUAGUGUCCCAACCAGACAUGACCAUACAAGUGGCCAGAACACACAGUUUGCUAUCUGGAUUUUGUUUUCCAUCCUCCCAAGACUAUGGAAGCUGAGCGAGGGGAGCAAUCUCCUGUAUGAACACAUUUCACUACUUAUAAAUAGCCCUACAUUCAAAGUCUCAGGGUGUGCUUGACACAAGCUGGGGUCAUUUGAGAGGAAGGGACAUCAAUUAAGAAAAGGGUGCAGUGUUAUUCUUUUGGUCCCUGCCCUAGCCACGCCCACUCCCAUAACCUCUGACCAUCGCCAUCUUGGGACCCCCUCCUCUCUUUCUGCUUCCUUGGCGUGCGCACACGUUUUCUCUGUCUCUCUCUCCUUUUAUUUCUCCUCUCUCCUUUUAUCUCUUUUCUCUGUCUUUCUUUCUCCCCCUUCCUUAAUACUUAUGGCUAUUUCCUGUGUUUACGUGUCUGCUACCUGCCGCCACCGUGGGCCAAGGAAGCGUGCCCUCCUGUAGCCGCUUUCUCAUGGCGGGCUCCGUCAGCCCGCCUGGGGGGGCGCAGGAAUCGUUUUAUAACAUGCAGGAAGGCCUAUAAGGCAUUUUCUUAGUGAUCAAUGGGGGAGGGCCCAUCUCAUCACCAAGGGUGGUAUCAUCCCUGGCCUAGUGGUCCUGGGUUAUAUAAGAAAGCAGGCUGAGCAAGCUGUAAGGAAUAAGCCAGUAAGCAGCACCCUUCUAUGCCCUCUGCCUCCAGGUUUCUGCCUUGGGUGUAGAAGUUCCUGUCCUAAUUUCCUUUGAUGAUGAACAGUGCUGUGGAAAUGUAAGUCAUAAACCCUUUCCUCCCCAGCUUGUUUUUGGUGAUGUUUCAUCAGCAAUAGAAAUCUUAGACAAGUUGGCAUCAGAAGUAGACAUUGCUGUGACAGCCCUGACCAUGUUUUUGGGAGCACUAUGAGAGGACUUUGGAACUUGAAGCUAGAAAGGUCACUGAGACCGCCUGUGGUGAGCUCACCCACAAGUAUUCUAUACAUUAAGAUCUAUUGGACAAGCCACAGGAGUAAGGACACUCCACAUGGAGUAACCCGUUUUGCAGAGCUACGGAAACAACUGUCUUUGAAUAAGUCACUGUCAAUUCUGUAAAAAUCUUGUGAAAUCACGGCAUUUCUCCCUUCUCUAGUCUCCCAGCAGUGUAUAAACCUGACUUUUCCUGUAGGGCAGCCGGAUACCUUCCCCACACAGUGAAGCCCUGGUGUGAAAGCAUUGUACUCAAGUCAAACCUUCAUCCUCAAAGCAAAAAUCUGCAUAAAACUAGGGCCCCACAAUUUUAUUGACAGCACUUACUGACAAGAAGGGAGCCCAAGUCUGCUAUAGCAGCAGACUCAAGUAGCUGUGAUCUACUGACUUUUGCUCUGACCUAACAAGCUACUAAUAUUUUGUAUUACCCUUCUCCUUGGUUUCAGUUAACAUAAGUCAUAGCCUAGGAGAUUAGCUGUUUAGACAGGAAAAAGGCCCGGAGUCGCUAAAACUAGCUUUAGAGAGAAAAAUUCUCACCUAGGCACCCUGUUGGAGUCAAAAACAAAGUUGCCACUAAUGCAAAUCAAGCCCUUAGGUCAUUCUGACUACCCAAGGCCGAGUUCCCAGAGUUCCCAACACUUCAUAGGCACACCUGCUGAGAUGUGAAGCCCUCCUUAUCAGAUCCACUGGCUUCUGUGACUCUGAAAAUGCCUGCCUGAUACUCUGGUUACUGCCCAUGGAAUUGCUAACUUUUCGAAAGGUCUGCCUAUAUAAACUGAAAGCUUUGUGAAGAAUGACCCCCUUUUUUCUUCCCUUCUUCCCCAAGGAAUAAACACGCAGGAGGAACACUUGUUCUACCCCUCAGAUCCCUCUCCCCAGCCAGUUUUCCCUGCCAUAGCAAAUCUUUCUGGACCCUGAGAGGUUUAAUGGGCUUAACCCCAAAAUAAACCUCGAUAGCCACCGAGUGUUGAGAGCUCUGUGGGCUGUUCUGUAGGAGCAUGGAAUACAGGAACACUGAGGGCAGCCAGUGUGGUGGUGGCACAGUCCCAGCACUCAGGAGGCACAAUAAGGAGGAUCUCUGUGAGUUCAAGGCCAGCUGGCCAAUGAGUUUCAGGACAAUAAACACAGUGAAACCAUCUUGAAA